rnacentral:rRNA from 1 species
UACGUAGGCAGCAAGCGUUGUUCGGAGUUACUGGGCGUAAAGGGUGCGUAGGCGGCUUUUUAAGUCAGGGGUGAAAUCCCAAGGCUCAACCUUGGAACUGCCUUUGAUACUGGGAAUCUUGAGUCCGGGAGAGGUGAGUGGAACUGCGAGUGUAGAGGUGAAAUUCGUAGAUAUUCGCAAGAACACCAGUGGCGAAGGCGGCUCACUGGCCCGGAACUGACGCUGAGGCGCGAAAGCGUGGGGAGCAAACAGG